rnacentral:lncRNA from 1 species
CAGGUCCUCUUCUAGCUGAUACAUAUGUGACCCUGUUGAAAGGUCGUAAUGCUUGGUAUGGCCAAAAGUUGGCCAAGGGAGAAAUAAACCUUGAUAUGGGUGACAGCAUCAAGGGAAAAGGAAUGAUACAGGUAUAUUCUAGAAUACUUUACAUACAGUGACUAGCAGCGUGUGACCAACGAUAGAUCUCUAGUUAUAGUUUGCUGGAGCCUACGUGAUGCUAUAUAGUUGAUAUAAGAGAUGCUUACUGAUACUAUUUCACUUAUCAAAACAAAAAACGCAAAAGAAAUGUCUAUUGAUGCUUGUACCACGAACAGAAGUUGUAGAAGUUACAAAGACGUUUAGCAUCCUUUGAAAUUGUUACAUAUCUCCUGUCGGAAGGACCAGAGAAGCUUGCAGGUCCUCUUCUGGCUGAUACAUAUGUGACCCUGUUGAAAGGUCGUAAUACUUGGUAUGGCCAAAAGUUGGCCAAGGGAGAAAUAAACCUUGAUAUGGGUGACAGCAUCAAGGGAAAGGGAAUGAUACAGGUAUAUCCUAGAAUACUUUACAUACAGUGACUAGCAGCGUGUGACCAACGAUAGAUCUCUAGUUAUAGUUUGCUGGAGCCUACGUGAUGCUAUAUAGUUGAUAUAAGAGAUGCUUACUGAUACUAUUUCACUUAUCAAAACAAAAAACGCAAAAGAAAUGUCUAUUGAUGCUUGUACCACGAACAGAAGUUGUAGAAGUUACAAAGACGUUUAGCAUCCUUUGAAAUUGCUGUUUCCAUAACGUUACUGGC